UAGGGAAUCUUCGGCAAUGGGGGGAACCCUGACCGAGCAACGCCGCGUGAGUGAAGAAGGUUUUCGGAUCGUAAAGCUCUGUUGUUAAGGAAGAACGAGUGUGAGAAUGGAAAGUUCAUACUGUGACGGUACUUAACCAGAAAGGGACGGCUAACUACGUGCCAGCAGCCGCGGUAAUACGUAGGUCCCGAGCGUUGUCCGGAUUUAUUGGGCGUAAAGCGAGCGCAGGCGGGUAGAUAAGUCUGAAGUUAAAGGCAGUGGCUCAACCAUUGUAGGCUUUGGAAACUGUUUAACUUGAGUGCAGAAGGGGAGAGUGGAAAUCCAUGUGUAGCGGUGAAAUGCGUAGAUAUAUGGAGGAACACCGGUGGCGAAAGCGGCUCUCUGGUCUGUAACUGACGCGGAGGCUCGAAAGCGUGGGGAGCGAACAGG
rnacentral:rRNA from 1 species